rnacentral:rRNA from 1 species
AGCGAACGCUGGCGGCAGGCCUAACACAUGCAAGUCGAGCGCCCCGCAAGGGGAGCGGCAGACGGGAGAGUAACACGUGGGAACGUACCCUUUGGCUCGGAACAACCCAGGGAAACUUUGGCUAAUCACGGAUAAGCCCUUACGGGGAAAGAUUCAUCGCCGAAGGAUCGGCCCGCGUCUGAUUAGCUAGUUGGUGGGGUAACGGCCCACCAAGGCGACGAUCAGUAGCUGGUCUGAGAGGAUGAUCAGACUGACUGGGACUGAGACACGGCCCAGACUCCUACGGGAGGCAGCAGUGGGGAAUAUUGGACAAUGGGCGCAAGCCUGAUCCAGCCAUGCCGCGUGGGUGAUGAAGGCCCUAGGGUUGUAAAGCCCUUUCGGCGGGGAAGAUAAUGACGGUACCCGCAGAAGAAGCCCCGGCUAACUUCGUGCCAGCAGCCGCAGUAA